GUCUCUCUCAUUCGCUGUGAUAUCCAAACUUGCCUCCAAUCGUUCUUCAUAAAUCAUCAUCUACAGGUGUUUCGCUUGUGUUUCUGCAGUUUUCUCCACCAACUUGUUCCUACUCUUGAGGUACCAUAUGUACAAUUUAGGGUUUCUUAUAUCAUAACAAGGCCCCUAACCCUAGUUUGUCGUUUGGUGUUUUCUCUUUAAAAAAAAUAACCAUCAACAAGUAGUGCAUUGCUGUUUGUUCCAAGAAUCCACUGUUAAUUUGAGGUACCAUAUAUUCAAUUUUAAGUUUAUUAUCCCAUAACAAUUUGUGUUAAUCUUUGAAAUUACAUUGACACGAUUUGUCCCUUGAUUUUUCUAGUGCUGAUAUCAUCGGGCGUGUGUAAUUACCAUCGAUUGCUUGCUGAAUAUUGCUGAAAAAAUUUAUAGCUUGGGUUGUAUUAAAGCCAUUUAGGGAUUUUUUGGGUUAAAGGGGAGGACGGUGCCCGACAACUUUUUUACCGGUUUUCGUUCUAAUUAGUGUAUGACAGUGUGAGUAUUUAUAUUUGAAUAAUUGUGAGUAUCUAUAUUUGAAUAAUUGGAGAGUUUGAUUAUCAUUUAGUAUUUUUAACUGUUGCCAUCGAUUCCUUUUUGACAUCAAUUCAUUUUCAGUUUUGAUUCACCUUGACUAGUCAUAUUGACAAUAAACAUGACCAGUACCUAGAAUUGAUUCUUGAUUUUUUUUGUCCAUUGACAUGUGCAUUAACCAGAUUUGACGAGCCCAAUUUUCUACAACUAUUUAAUGUAUUGAUAAAAUGUCUUUUCCAAAUAAUUGAAGUUAUCAGCUACUAGUAAUCAUCGUACGCAGCUAAAGUCGUCGACAACAGUGGCAUCGUCGUCGGCAUCAAAUGUUAUGGGAGCUAUGUUGUCAUUUACUUCGAGACUUAUAGGUGUGGUAAUAUAUCCUCUUACAAUGCUUGUGUUAGUUGUGACUUGUUAAUAUUUGAUGCUUAUAUUUAGUAACAGUAACAUACAAAAUACAUGGUUAUUUCAAAUGUGAUAAAUAAUAUAUCAAAUACUUAACUAAUUUUAAAGCAGUUGUUACAUAUAUUAUUGGACAAACAUAUUCAUGUUUACGAAUGAUUUGUGAAAAAAAAUAGGAAAAAACUAUUCAUUACCUCAUCUUAUGGUAGUAAAGUUAAAGAGGAUUAUUUUGAUUAUUUAUGUCAGUUCUUUUAUGAUAUUUAAAACAUACUAUAUUAAAAAAAUGUUACAAAGUUGGUUUACUUGUUAUACUUAUGAAAACAAUAUAACUUGAUUCAUCAUUAUUUUAGUGGGGAAUAUCAUGUUAUCUUUUUUAUUCGAUAUCACGUAAAUUACUAAUACGGUGGAGGAGCUAGAUAUUUUGAUCUUGAGUUGGAAAUUGUUACUGUGGAUUUUUGUUUGCUGACCACCAAAUUGAAUAUAAUUUAUCAGGGAUAUAAAGUAUGAUGAAUGAAUGAGAAGAAAAUUAUGCUAAUAAUCCACAGGGCCAAGUAUGUCUUUUGUGGUGGUGAAUGGAUAUAAAUUACGUGAAAUCCGUCACACAAUGUGCACAAAAAAAUACUUGUCGCAACACGCGGGCAUUCCCACUAGUAUAUAUAAAAGAACACUAUCAUAAUAGGUUCCUUAUUAGUAGUC
rnacentral:lncRNA from 1 species